rnacentral:rRNA from 1 species
AUAAGGUCUAACCUGCCCACUGAAUUUUGUUUGAAGGGCCGCAGUAUUUUGACUGUGCAAAGGUAGCAUAAUCAUUAGUCUUUUAAUUGAAGGCUGGUAUGAAUGGUUGGACGAGAUACAAGCUGUGUCAUAAAAAUUAAAAUUUGAAUUUAUCUUUUUAGUUAAAAGACUAAAAUAAAAUUAAAAGACGAGAAGACCCUAUAGAGUUUUAUAUAAUUAAUAUUUAAAUUAUUAAGAUUUUUUAAAUUAAAAUAUUAUUUUAUAUUUUGUUGGGGUGACAAUAAAAUUUAUAAAACUUUUAUUUUUAUUAAACAUUAAUUUAUGAUUAGAUGAUCCAGUUUUAUUGAUUAUAAAUUUAAGUUACCUUAGGGAUAACAGCGUAAUUUUUUUUGAGAGUUCUUAUCGACAAAAAAGAUUGCGACCUCGAUGUUGGAUUAAGAGUAAUUUUGGGUGUAGAAGUUCAAAAUUUAAGUC